rnacentral:lncRNA from 1 species
UUUACUGUUUUUUUUUUGGUUUUGUGGGGAGGGGUACAUGGAAAGUUAUUUCUAUGAAUUGAAAUUCGACCUUUACACAAGUCCUCAACCAACCCAUUUUACAUGUAUUAUUAAUUAUUAAUGUGAGUAAUAUAACUUAGGCAUCAUUUUGAAAGGAAGGAAAUUUACAGAAACCAUGUCUCAAUGUGUAAUCUAUCUAUAAUAAAAGUCACAUGAUUGAUUUUAAUUUUUUUUUUGUUUCAUUGUUUAGUAGCGAAACUCAUAACCUAUAAAUGUGAAAAAAAUGGAUAAUUCGGAGUUUGAAUUCC